rnacentral:ncRNA from 1 species
AAGCGAGGACGACCUCCCCCAUCCGGGACGAACAGUCGGGACGACCCGG